rnacentral:lncRNA from 1 species
GUGGAGGUGGGGGUGCUGGUGGUGGUGGGGUCUCUGGGGAUGGGGGGGGAGCCAAUGGCGGAGCUGGGUCCGCCAGCGUGGGGGCACCGAAUGGUGGAUCUGCCAACGUGGGAUCACCGAAUGGUGGAUUUGCCAACGUGGGGUCACCAAAUGGUGGAUCUACCAACAUUGGGUCACCAAAUGGUGGAUCUCCCAGUUUUGGGGCUGGAUCUCCCAGUUUUGGGGCUGGAUCUCCGAAUUUUGGAGCUGGAUCUCCGAAUUUUGGGGCUGGAUCUCCCAGUUUUGGGGCUGGAUCUCCCAACGUUGUGCCACCAAAUGUUGGAUUUGGGAGCGGAUCCCCCAGCGCCGCCCGUCCGACUGAUGAUUACCCCGAUGUUAAUUACCCCGAUAUUGAUUACCACGACUAUCCUGGCACCGAUUACCCCGACACCGGCUCUCCUAAUGAUUAUAAUUACCCCGAGGCCGCUAAUUAUCCCGACGCCGAGGAGUUUCCUGAUGAGCUCCUCCUGCACCUCCACCUUCCCACCGUUCCCCCCCCGACCGUCGGAUCCUCCACCACCAAAUCACCAGAUUUCGGUUCUUCCAUCACCGGAUCUCCAAAUUUUGGUUCUUCUUCCGCCACCAAAUCACCAGAUUUUGGUUCUUCCAUCACCGGAUCUCCAAAUUUUGGUUCUUCUUCCAUCGAACCUCCCGGUUUUGGUUCUUCUUCCGUCACCGGAUCUCCCGAUCCUGACCCUCCUGCCACCAGAUCUCCCAAUUUCGGUUCUUCUGCUUCCAUCAAACUGCCCAACUCUGACUCUUCCACCACCAAAUUGCUGAAUUUUGGCUCUUCCGUCACCAGAUCUCCCACUUUUGGUUCUUCUGCCACCAGAUCUCCCGGCUUUGUUUCUUCCUCCACCGGAUCUCCCCAUUUUGCUUCUUCUUCCUCCCCCAAAUCUCCCCAUUUCGGCUCUCCCCCCCCCAGAUCUCCCCAU